UACGAAGGGGACUAGCGUUGUUCGGAAUCACUGGGCGUAAAGCGCACGUAGGCGGAUGUGUCAGUCAGGGGUGAAAUCCCGGGGCUCAACCUCGGAACUGCCUUUGAUACAGCACGUCUCGAGUCCGGAAGAGGUGGGUGGAAUUCCUAGUGUAGAGGUGAAAUUCGUAGAUAUUAGGAAGAACACCGGUGGCGAAGGCGGCCCACUGGCCCGGUACUGACGCUGAGGUGCGAAAGCGUGGGGAGCAAACAGG
rnacentral:rRNA from 1 species